CAAACCUUUUCAUAGAGCAUCAAAACGCAAGCUCAAGAACAACACUACUAUCACACUUUUCAUGGUAUUUUUUUCAGGCGUCUGCCCCUGGUUUUAAUCCAAAGGAACUGCUUUUGGAGCUGGUGUGUCCGGCUUUGGUGUUUGCUGGCUGAGGAAGAGGCCCACUCUUUUCUCCAGUCUUGGUAUGUGAAUUUCUCUGUCUUCAAGUAAUUCCUUAGCAUACCCUUGAAUGGCAUCUACCACACUAGCUAACUUUUUCAACCCACAAGGCUGAAACAACUUCCUUUAACUGAAAUGACCCCAGCACAGCUAUUCACCAGAAGACACCCUCCUUGAUUUCUUGGUGGGCCUGUAAGAUGACUGAAGUUGUAGAACAGCAAAGACUUGGAACAGACAUUGAGGUCCUAUCGCUUCUGUUGGAAACUUCUGUUGACUGCAGUGUGAGUUGGAUGGGACCCAGAGAAACCAAAUACAGACAAGUGACGAUGAGCUGGCCAUACAAGCAAGGAAAAUCACAGAUAACAGAUCUGGUGUAG
rnacentral:lncRNA from 12 species